rnacentral:rRNA from 1 species
AUUUCAGUCUUAAAAACAACAACUACCAAAUUACUAAAAGCUAUAAUCUCUAAAUUUAAAGGAUUUGGCGGUAAUUUAAUCCAUUUAGAGGAACCUGUGUCAUAAACGAUACACCACGCAAAAUCUUACCUAUUUCCUAGUUUGUAUACCGUCAUUAAUAGAUAACUUUUAAAAAAUCAGUUAUCUUAAUAAAAAACAUUUAAUAUAUUAGAUCAAGGUGCAGCCCAUAAAUAGGGAUAUCAUGGGUUACAUUAAAAUUUAUUUAUAACGGAUAUUAAUUUUAAAAAAUUAAUUAAAGGAGGAUUUAAUAGUAAGUUUUAAUUAAUAUGGUAAACUGACAUGAGACCUAAAUUGCGUACAUAUCGCCCGUCGCUUUCACCACCCAAGUGAAAUAAGUCGUAACAUAG